GUAUGUGCUGUACAGUGUAGUGUGUGCUGUCUCCAGUCUACCCCACCACAAAACUAAUUAUCUAAUAUUCUAAUUCCUAAUUAACUUACCUAUUCCUCAUUCUAGAGAAAGACAGAAAGUUGAGACUGAGAACAGAGAACUGAAAGUCUGAAACCCUAACACUUAAAGCAGCAGCCGCCAGCCAGUAGCCCAGUACCCAGUAGCCACCAAUCCUUUCCGCCUCCGCUCAUCGUCGUCUACUUCCAGCAGUCGUAGGUCUCCCUUCAGUAGCCACCGAUCCUUUCCGCCUCCGCUCGUCGUCGCCUACUUCCAGCAGUCGUCGGUCUCCCUCCUCUCGCCAUCUCGUCUCUCCACUUCUCUAGGUACUCUUCUUAUCGGUCGUGUUCCACAUAAAAUCAAUGUCGUGCAACAAGUGAAUUAGCUUUUCUUUUGUCAUUGGUAUCACGCUUAUACUAUAGUAUUUCAUUAGUCC
rnacentral:lncRNA from 1 species